UACGUAGGGACCAAGCGUUGUUCGGAUUUACUGGGCGUAAAGGGCGCGUAGGCGGCUUAACAAGUCACUUGUGAAAUCUCCGGGCUUAACUCGGAACGGCCAAGUGAAACUGUCAAGCUAGAGUGCAGAAGGGGCAAUCGGAAUUCUUGGUGUAGCGGUGAAAUGCGUAGAUAUCGAGAGGAACACCUGCGGCGAAGGCGGGUAGCUGGGCCGACACUGACGCUGAGGCGCGAAAGCCAGGGGAGCAAACGGG
rnacentral:rRNA from 1 species